GGGGAAACCCAACUGCAUAAGCAGUUACUGUUAACUGAAUACAUAGGUUAACAGAGCAAACCGGGGGAACUGAAACAUCUAAGUACCCCGAGGAGAAGAAAUCAACCGAGAUUCCGGUAGUAGCGGCGAGCGAACCUGGAUUAGCCCUUAAGCACUCGGUGAAGUAGGUGAACAAGCUGGAAAGCUUGGCGAUACAGGGUGAUAGCCCCGUAACCGACGCUUCAUCGAGCGUGAAAUCGAGUAGGGCGGGACACGUGAUAUCCUGUCUGAAUAUGGGGGGACCAUCCUCCAAGGCUAAAUACUCCUGACUGACCGAUAGUGAACCAGUACCGUGAGGGAAAGGCGAAAAGAACCCCUGUGAGGGGAGUGAAAUAGAACCUGAAACCGUGUACGUACAAGCAGUAGGAGCACCUUCGUGGUGUGACUGCGUACCUUUUGUAUAAUGGGUCAGCGACUUAUAUUCAGUGGCAAGGUUAACCGUAUAGGGGAGCCGUAGCGAAAGCGAGUCUUAACUGGGCGCUCAGUCUCUGGAUAUAGACCCGAAACCGGGUGAUCUAGCCAUGGGCAGGUUGAAGGUUGAGUAACAUCAACUGGAGGACCGAACCGACUAAUGUUGAAAAAUUAGCGGAUGACUUGUGGCUAGGGGUGAAAGGCCAAUCAAACUCGGAGAUAGCUGGUUCUCCCCGAAAGCUAUUUAGGUAGCGCCUCGGACGAAUACUACUGGGGGUAGAGCACUGUUAAGGCUAGGGGGUCAUCCCGACUUACCAACCCUUUGCAAACUCCGAAUACCAGUAAGUACUAUCCGGGAGACACACGGCGGGUGCUAACGUCCGUCGUGGAGAGGGAAACAACCCAGACCGCCAGCUAAGGUCCCAAAGUAUUGCUAAGUGGGAAACGAUGUGGGAAGGCUCAGACAGCUAGGAUGUUGGCUUAGAAGCAGCCAUCAUUUAAAGAAAGCGUAAUAGCUCACUAGUCGAGUCGGCCUGCGCGGAAGAUGUAACGGGGCUAAGCAAUACACCGAAGCUGCGGCAAUAUCUUUUAGAUAUUGGGUAGGGGAGCGUUCUGUAAGCCGUUGAAGGUGAAUCGUAAGGUUUGCUGGAGGUAUCAGAAGUGCGAAUGCUGACAUGAGUAACGACAAAGGGGGUGAAAAACCUCCUCGCCGGAAGACCAAGGGUUCCUGUCCAACGUUAAUCGGGGCAGGGUGAGUCGACCCCUAAGGUGAGGCCGAAAGGCGUAAUCGAUGGGAAACGGGUUAAUAUUCCCGUACUUCUGACUAUUGCGAUGGGGGGACGGAGAAGGCUAGGUGGGCCAGGCGACGGUUGUCCUGGUUCAAGUGCGUAGGCUUGAGAGUUAGGUAAAUCCGGCUCUCUCUAAGGCUGAGACACGACGUCGAGCUGCUACGGCAGUGAAGUCAUUGAUGCCAUGCUUCCAGGAAAAGCCUCUAAGCUUCAGAUAGUCAGGAAUCGUACCCCAAACCGACACAGGUGGUCGGGUAGAGAAUACCAAGGCGCUUGAGAGAACUCGGGUGAAGGAACUAGGCAAAAUGGUACCGUAACUUCGGGAGAAGGUACGCUCUUGAUGGUGAAGUCCCUCGCGGAUGGAGCUGACGAGAGUCGCAGAUACCAGGUGGCUGCAACUGUUUAUUAAAAACACAGCACUGUGCAAAAUCGCAAGAUGACGUAUACGGUGUGACGCCUGCCCGGUGCCGGAAGGUUAAUUGAUGGGGUUAGCGCAAGCGAAGCUCUUGAUCGAAGCCCCGGUAAACGGCGGCCGUAACUAUAACGGUCCUAAGGUAGCGAAAUUCCUUGUCGGGUAAGUUCCGACCUGCACGAAUGGCGUAAUGAUGGCCACGCUGUCUCCACCCGAGACUCAGUGAAAUUGAAAUCGCUGUGAAGAUGCAGUGUACCCGCGGCUAGACGGAAAGACCCCGUGAACCUUUACUACAGCUUGGCACUGAACAUUGAACCUACAUGUGUAGGAUAGGUGGGAGGCUAUGAAGACGUGACGCCAGUUGCGUUGGAGCCGUCCUUGAAAUACCACCCUUGUAUGU
rnacentral:rRNA from 1 species